GGAGAGGUGUCCGAGUGGUUUAAGGUGCCGCUCUCGAAAAGCGGUGUGCGAAUAGCACCGAGGGUUCGAAUCCCUCCCUCUCCGCCA
rnacentral:tRNA from 2 species